rnacentral:rRNA from 1 species
AGCGGACGCUGGCGGCAGGCCUAACACAUGCAAGUCGAACGAACCUUUCGGGGUUAGUGGCGGACGGGUGAGUAACACGUGGGAACGUUCCUUUAGGUUCGGAAUAACUCAGGGAAACUUGUGCUAAUACCGAAUGUGCCCUUCUGGGGAAAGAUUUAUCGCCUUUAGAGCGGCCCGCGUCUGAUUAGCUAGUUGGUUGAGGUAAUGGCUCACCAAGGCGACGAUCAGUAGCUGGUCUGAGAGGAUGAUCAGCCACAUUGGGACUGAGACACGGCCCAAACUCCUACGGGAGGCAGCAGUGGGGAAUCUUGCGCAAUGGGCGAAAGCCUGACGCAGCCAUGCCGCGUGAAUGAUGAAGGUCUUAGGAUUGUAAAAUUCUUUAAACGGGGACGAUAAUGACGGUACCCGGAGAAGAAGCCCCGGCUAACUUCGUG